rnacentral:rRNA from 1 species
GGCCUUUUGUUAAAAAUUUAAGGUCUAACCUGCUCGCUGAGUAUUUAAAGGGCCGCGGUAUUUUGACCGUGCUAAGGUAGCAUAAUCAUUAGUUUCUUAAUUAGAAGCUGGAAUGAAUGGUUGAAUGAGAAAAAAACUGUUUCUAUUUAAAUGCUAUUGAAUUUUAUUUUUAAGUAAAAAAGCUUAAAUAAUUUUAGAAGACGAGAAGACCCUAUAGAGUUUAAUAAAAUAUGAUUAGUAUUGAUUUUAGGAAUUUUAAAUUUAAUAGUUAAUUUUAUUUGGUUGGGGUGAUUAAAAAAUUAAAUAAACUUUUUUUGAAUUGACACAUUAAUUUAUGAAUAAUUGAUCCAUUAUUAAUGAUUAUAAGAUUAAAUUACCUUAGGGAUAACAGCGUUAUUUUAUUGGAGAGUUCAAAUCGAUAAUAAAGUUUGCGACCUCGAUGUUGGAUUAAAAUUUACUUUUGGUGUAGAGGCUAAAAAGUUAGGUCUGUUCGACCUUUAAAAUUUUACAUGA